UACGGGAGGCAGCAGUGGGGAAUAUUGCACAAUGGGCGAAAGCCUGAUGCAGCUAUGCCGCGUGUAUGAAGAAGGCCUUAGGGUUGUAAAGUACUUUCAUCGGGGAGGAAAAACAAAACUAAUAAUUUUAUUUCUUGACGUUACCCGAAAAAGAAGCACCGGCUAACUCCGUGCCAGCAGCCGCGGUAAUACGGAGGGUGCUAGCGUUAAUCAGAAUUACUGGGCGUAAAGAGCACGUAGGUGGUUUUUUUAAGUCAGAUGUGAAAUCCCUGGGCUUAACCUAGGAACUGCAUUUUGAAACUGAAAUACUAGAGUAUCGUAGAGGGAGGUAGAAUUCUAGGUGUAGCGGUGAAAUGCGUAGAUAUCUGGAGGAAUACCUGUGGCGAAAGCGGCCUCCUAAACGAAUACUGACACUGAGGUGCGAAAGCGUGGGGAGCAAACAGGAUUAGAUACC
rnacentral:rRNA from 1 species